rnacentral:rRNA from 1 species
AGACCCGAAACCCGGUGAUCUAGCCAUGGGCAGGUUGAAGGUUGGGUAACACUAACUGGAGGACCGAACCGACUAAUGUUGAAAAAUUAGCGGAUGACCUGUGGCUGGGGGUGAAAGGCCAAUCAAACCGGGAGAUAGCUGGUUCUCCCCGAAAGCUAUUUAGGUAGCGCCUCGUGAAUUCAUCUCCGGGGGUAGAGCACUGUUUCGGCUAGGGGGCCAUCCCGGCUUACCAACCCGAUGCAAACUGCGAAUACCGGAGAAUGUUAUCACGGGAGACACACGGCGGGUGCUAACGUCCGUCGUGAAGAGGGAAACAACCCAGACCGCCAGCUAAGGUCCCAAAGUCAUGGUUAAGUGGGAAACGAUGUGGGAAGGCCCAGACAGCCAGGAUGUUGGCUUAGAAGCAGCCAUCAUUUAAAGAAAGCGUAAUAGCUCACUGGUCGAGUCGGCCUGCGCGGAAGAUGUAACGGGGCUAAACCAUGCACCGAAGCUGCGGCAGCGACACUCAGGUGUUGUUGGGUAGGGGAGCGUUCUGUAAGCCUGUGAAGGUGGCCUGUGAGGGUUGCUGGAGGUAUCAGAAGUGCGAAUGCUGACAUAAGUAACGAUAAAGCGGGUGAAAAGCCCGCUCGCCGGAAGACCAAGGGUUCCUGUCCAACGUUAAUCGGGGCAGGGUGAGUCGACCCCUAAGGCGAGGCCGAAAGGCGUAGUCGAUGGGAAACGGGUUAAUAUUCCCGUACUUGGUGUUACUGCGAAGGGGGGACGGAGAAGGCUAUGUUGGCCGGGCGACGGUUGUCCCGGUUUAAGCGUGUAGGUGUGUGUUCCAGGUAAAUCCGGUUCACUUUAACACUGAGGCGUGACGACGAGGCACU